rnacentral:rRNA from 1 species
UACGUAGGGUGCAAGCGUUAAUCGGAAUUACUGGGCGUAAAGCGUGCGCAGGCGGUUUUGUAAGUCUGACGUGAAAUCCCCGGGCUCCAACCUGGGAAUUGCGUUGGAGACUGCAAGGCUAGAAUCUGGCAGAGGGGGGUAGAAUUCCACGUGUAGCAGUGAAAUGCGUAGAGAUGUGGAGGAACACCGAUGGCGAAGGCAGCCCCCUGGGUCAAGAUUGACGCUCAUGCACGAAAGGCGU